GGGUUGUGAGGUUAAGCGACUAAGCGUACACGGUGGAUGCCCUGGCAGUCAGAGGCGAUGAAGGGCGUGCUAAUCUGCGAUAAGCGCCGGUAAGGUGAUAUGAACCGUUAUAACCGGCGAUACCCGAAUGGGGAAACCCAGUGUGACUCGUCACACUAUCAUUAACUGAAUCCAUAGGUUAAUGAGGCGAACCGGGGGAACUGAAACAUCUAAGUACCCCGAGGAAAAUAAAUCAACCGAGAUUCCCCCAGUAGCGGCGAGCGAACGGGGAGGAGCCCAGAGCCUGAAUCAGCAUGUGUGUUAGUGGAAGCGUCUGGAAAGGCGCGCGAUACAGGGUGACAGCCCCGUACACAAAAGCGCAUGUGCUGUGAGCUCGAUGAGUAGGGCGGGACACGUGGUAUCCUGUCUGAAUAUGGGGGGACCAUCCUCCAAGGCUAAAUACUCCUGACUGACCGAUAGUGAACCAGUACCGUGAGGGAAAGGCGAAAAGAACCCCGGCGAGGGGAGUGAAAAAGAACCUGAAACCGUGUACGUACAAGCAGUGGGAGCCCCACCACCAAAGCAUUCUCUGGUGUUGAAGGCCCUGCAAAGCAGCAUCGCGGUGGCGGAGCGUCGUUUGCGACGCCCAACACACAAAACAAGCGGUGAGUGCUUUG
rnacentral:rRNA from 1 species